UACGAAGGGGGCUAGCGUUGUUCGGAAUCACUGGGCGUAAAGCGCACGUAGGCGGAUUGCUAAGUCAGGGGUGAAAUCCUGGAGCUCAACUCCAGAACUGCCUUUGAUACUGGCAAGCUUGGAGUCCGGGAGAGGUGAGUGGAACUGCGAGUGUAGAGGUGAAAUUCGUAGAUAUUCGCAAGAACACCAGUGGCGAAGGCGGCUCACUGGCCCGGUACUGACGCUGAGGUGCGAAAGCGUGGGGAGCAAACAGG
rnacentral:rRNA from 1 species